CAGUGUUUCAUAUCUUAUGCUUUGUCUAGCAAGGGCUAUCCGGCAUGUUUUUCCGGAUAGCCCUC
rfam:Saprospiraceae bacterium KD52 Scaffold1_16, whole genome shotgun sequence.